UCCCUGGUGGUCUAACGGCUAAGACUCUGACCUCCCAAUGCAGGGGUCUCAGGUUUGAUUCCUGGUCAGGGAA
rnacentral:tRNA from 1 species